rnacentral:lncRNA from 1 species
GUGGUGGCCAUACAGGAGCCUUUUAACAAGAACUGUUCGAGAUCGACUCAUCGCUACUGGUUAUCGUGCGAUAAGACCAUUUCGGAGACCUUUGCUAACGAACUGACACACAGUUUUCCGUAUCCAAUGUUGUGCAGAGUUCGCCAAAGUUGGAAAUUAGCAUCGUGGAGGAAGAUCCAAUGUUCAAAUGGAAUUCGGUUCAUCUUCCUUGGCACGAUCGUAGCCCGGAUUUCAACCAUAUCGAGCAUAUUUGGGACACUAUUGGGCGGAAAGUGCGCGAAAGGACACCCCAGUUCAAACCCAUCAUGAAAUAAACAAUGCCCGUCAUCAGAAAUGGUUGCUGCUACCUUAGCAACAAAUUAGUCGAUUUAUGGCAGGAAUCAGAAGACGUUUAGAUGCGGUUAUCCGUUUGGAUAGAGGCUGCGCACAAAGUACUAAUUCUUUGGCGUAUAACCAUCAACCAUGAUGUGAACAGUCAUCUAAGGAUUAAUUUUGAAAUGUCUGACAUUGCAAUAUUCGACUACAGUAAAAGUUGUAAAAUGCAUUUUUUUGUACAAAAAACACUCCAUUUUGGUAUUAAAAUUGUGGUUAUAUAAAUCAUUUUUUUUUCAAACAUUUUU